rnacentral:piRNA from 1 species
UUCCUCCAUCCUGGAUGAGUACUCAGGGAU